rnacentral:rRNA from 1 species
AUUGAACGCUGGCGGCAGGCCUAACACAUGCAAGUCGAGCGGUAGCACAGAGAGCUUGCUCUCGGGUGACGAGCGGCGGACGGGUGAGUAAUGUCUGGGAAACUGCCUGAUGGAGGGGGAUAACUACUGGAAACGGUAGCUAAUACCGCAUAACGUCGCAAGACCAAAGUGGGGGACCUUCGGGCCUCAUGCCAUCAGAUGUGCCCAGAUGGGAUUAGCUAGUAGGUGGGGUAACGGCUCACCUAGGCGACGAUCCCUAGCUGGUCUGAGAGGAUGACCAGCCACACUGGAACUGAGACACGGUCCAGACUCCUACGGGAGGCAGCAGUGGGGAAUAUUGCACAAUGGGCGCAAGCCUGAUGCAGCCAUGCCGCGUGUGUGAAGAAGGCCUUCGGGUUGUAAAGCACUUUCAGCGGGGAAGAAGGCGGUGAGGUUAAUAACCUUGUCGAUUGACGUUACCCGCAGAAGAAGCACCGGCUAACUCCGUGCCAGCAGCCGCGGUAAUACGGAGGGUGCAAGCGUUAAUCGGAAUUACUGGGCGUAAAGCGCACGCAGGCGGUCUGUCAAGUCGGAUGUGAAAUCCCCGGGCUCAACCUGGGAACUGCAUUCGAAACUGGCAGGCUAGAGUCUUGUAGAGGGGGGUAGAAUUCCAGGUGUAGCGGUGAAAUGCGUAGAGAUCUGGAGGAAUACCGGUGGCGAAGGCGGCCCCCUGGACAAAGACUGACGCUCGGGUGCGAAAGCGUGGGGAGCAAACAGGAUUAGAUACCCUGGUAGUCCACGCCGUAAACGAUGUCGAUUUGGAGGUUGUGCCCUUGAGGCGUGGCUUCCGGAGCUAACGCGUUAAAUCGACCGCCUGGGGAGUACGGCCGCAAGGUUAAAACUCAAAUGAAUUGACGGGGGCCCGCACAAGCGGUGGAGCAUGUGGUUUAAUUCGAUGCAACGCGAAGAACCUUACCUGGUCUUGACAUCCACAGAACCUUCCAGAGAUGGAUUGGUGCCUUCGGGAACUGUGAGACAGGUGCUGCAUGGCUGUCGUCAGCUCGUGUUGUGAAAUGUUGGGUUAAGUCCCGCAACGAGCGCAACCCUUAUCCUUUGUUGCCAGCGGUUAGGCCGGGAACUCAAAGGAGACUGCCAGUGAUAAACUGGAGGAAGGUGGGGAUGACGUCAAGUCAUCAUGGCCCUUACGACCAGGGCUACACACGUGCUACAAUGGCAUAUACAAAGAGAAGCGACCUCGCGAGAGCAAGCGGACCUCAUAAAGUAUGUCGUAGUCCGGAUUGGAGUCUGCAACUCGACUCCAUGAAGUCGGAAUCGCUAGUAAUCGUAGAUCAGAAUGCUACGGUGAAUACGUUCCCGGGCCU